UCAGAUUGGAAGCAUGACCCGAGGAGAUAGACCCUCAGCAGAAUUAGAGUUUGAAAAUGGAAGUAUUGCCACAACAGAAACCAGAUCCUUACAGCAAUCCCAGAGGUUACAACAUCAACAGAGAUCUCAGAGGGAAAAGCAGCUGGGGAUCAUUUAUUGAAACUUCCAACCAUUCUGGGAUCUCCAACAGCUUCUGAAUGCUGCAGCCUAAAACAAAACGAGAAACCCUCGUCUGGGAGAGCUGGCCACUGCCCUUUCAUUGUUCCCACCGUUUUAAUGAAACCUAAAAUCUCAGUUAUUUACUUAAACUGUUUUCAGACAGCAGUUCUGCACCUCUGCCUUUAAAACCUCUCUUCAAAAAAAAACACAAGAGAAAAUAAACGUUUUACAAUGAUAA